rnacentral:rRNA from 1 species
CUUAGUGGCGCAGCUAACGCACUAAGUUGACCGCCUGGGGAGUACGGCCGCAAGGUUAAAACUCAAAUGAAUUGACGGGGGCCCGCACAAGCGGUGGAGCAUGUGGUUUAAUUCGACGCAACGCGAAGAACCUUACCUGGCCUUGACAUGCAGAGAACUUUCCAGAGAUGGAUUGGUGCCUUCGGGAACUCUGACACAGGUGCUGCAUGGCCGUCGUCAGCUCGUGUCGUGAGAUGUUGGGUUAAGUCCCGUAACGAGCGCAACCCCUAUCCCUAGUUGCUAGCAGUUCGGCUGAGAACUCUAGGGAGACUGCCGGUGACAAACCGGAGGAAGGUGGGGAUGACGUCAGGUCAUCAUGGCCCUUACGGCCAGGGCUACACACGUGCUACAAUGGUGCGUACAGAGGGCUGCAAACCCGCGAGGGGGAGCUAAUCUCACAAAACGCAUCGUAGUCCGGAUCGGAGUCUGCAACUCGACUCCGUGAAGUCGGAAUCGCUAGUAAUCGCGAAUCAGAAUGUCGCGGUGAAUACGUUCCCGGGCCUUGUACACACCGCCCGUCACACCAUGGAAGCUGGUCACGCCCGAAGUAGUUACCCUAACUUUCGAGA